CCCGCCCCUUCCGGCCCCGCCCCUUCCGGCCCCGCCCCCCGAGGCCCUGCCCGAGAUUCCAGAGAUGCCGGAGAUCGACCUCAGGAGGCUGAUCCUGGACCACGCCCGAGCCCCGGAGGGGGCGGAGUUUGGCGCCAUCGUGGCCCCGGAUUGGCCCCGCCCCCGCGUGGCCAGGGCCUUCGCUCUGUGCCUGGAUCUCUGCGCGUCCCAUUUGCUGCGGCUGGAGCAGCCCCGCCCCUACGGACCAAUCCGGAUCGAGCUCCGCCCACACAGCCAGUAAACCCCACCCACAUUGCCUUAUAUGGAGCGCAGGGAGGUUACGUGUGGAUUUUCGGUGAAAUUUGAGGUUUUUGGGUGCAUGUUAGGGUUAGCUCCAAUAAAAAUGCAGAUGACCAUGGCUUAAGGUCGUGGGGAAAACCCUUUACAGUAGAGGUGAGUAAAAAAUCACCCCCAGAAUCCUCCAGUUCCAUAAGUUGAUCAUUGCCCUUACCAUUGCUUCCUUUUUGCUGCAGUAAUUUUAAUAUUCCUAAUCCCCCUUCCCUACUGGUUCCCCUCCCUAAACUCCACCCUAAUUCCUCCCCUCCUCAAAGUUUAUGCCAUGCCCUAACACCUGCUUUUUGCCAUUGCUCUCAUGGAUGGAAUUGCCCUCCCUGUACCAUCUUUCCCAGUUUGUUCAGUACAAACUGUUCAGCCUACUGUUGUUUUCUAUUAUUAAAGUUUUUUAGGUCCUGAACAAUCGGGUCAUAUUUUCUUUCUGUGUGAAAUCGCCGAGUUCAGUGAAGCCACUGACCCCAGCAGCCAGGCUAGAUUUGGCUGGAGGCUUCCAGAAUACCUCCAGAAUUGCAUCUAUCCCAGAAUUGGGCCCAGGCAAAUUUACCAGGACAGACAGGUCUGGCUGCCUUGUUCUCUGGUGAUUUCCUUAGACUAUGAGCAGAACAUUCUCC